rnacentral:rRNA from 1 species
UACGUAGGCAGCAAGCGUUGUUCGGAGUUACUGGGCGUAAAGGGUGCGUAGGCGGCCCUGUAAGUAUGGUGUGAAAUCUCCCGGCUUAACUGGGAGGGUGCGCUAUAGACUGCGGGGCUCGAGUGUGGGAGAGGAAAGUGGAAUUCCUGGUGUAGCGGUGAAAUGCGUAGAUAUCAGGAGGAACACCGGUGGUGUAAACGGCUUUCUGGACCAUAACUGACACUGAGGCACGAAAGCGUGGGUAGCAAACAGG